UACCAGCACCCCGAGUGGUCGGGACGUUUUAUUGGGCCUAAAGCAUCCGUAGCCGGUUCUACGAGUCUUCCGUUAAAUCCAACUGCUUAACAGGUGGGCUGCGGAAGAUACUAUAGAGCUAGGAGGCGGGAGAGGCAAGCGGUACUCGAUGGGUAGGGGUAAAAUCCGUUGAUCCAUUGAAGACCACCAGUGGCGAAGGCGGCUUGCCAGAACGCG
rnacentral:rRNA from 1 species